GGGGAGACCAAAACCGGAACACACUCCCAUGACAUUGACGUACCAUUGUUUUUAUGAUAACACUUGAUAUAUCGUCGCUUCCUGUUUUCACUCCUCCCCGGGAUCCGCGAGGCCGCCAAGACCCACAAGCCGGUGGAGCAAGCAGGAGCUGGCACACGCCGUCAACGCCAGCGCCACGGUGCUGGCCGAGGCCGAGCCGUCCAGCCCUGAGUUUUGGAGUCGCAGCACAGCCGUGGAAAUUGUCAACAGCAGCAAAGUUGUCCAGGCUGAGACAACCCUGCUUCUGGAUGGAAAACAUCCGGUAAGCUCUCUCGCCACUAGCUGCUGCCACUUUUGGCCAUCUGAUCCUCCUCAGUCCGAGUUCCCUGAGGAAGAGGGGCUCCGCUUAACCCCGAACAGCCUGAGUGCUGACCUCCACAAACUGGAUGACAUCCACUGGAUCUGUCCACUAAUGCACUGCUCUGAGGAGGAACACGGGAUGCCAAGCGUACGACUCCCGAAGCAGAAUCGCCAGGCAACUGAUGAUCUUUUCCGGCCCCUCACCUUGACCGCCGCGAGUGAGGAGACGUCGUCCUCUUAUCUGCCGGCACCCGCUGUCCUGACUGCGGCGUAGGCGGCAAAGAUGAGCUGUUUUGCGUUUCCUUACUGUGCAUUUAUUUUUAGGAAGCGGGAUCACUCGCAUUGCUCCUCCACUGGCCUGCUGUGCUAAUGAAAGAGCCUACAAUUCUGUCAUUUUGUCACAAACGUUGCCUGCAUGCAGCAGAGUACAGAACAUCUUUUAGAAACGACACGAUGGAAACCGCCUUCAGACUGAAAUGAGACUUUUCGGGGACACCUUGUUUCUACGUCACGCAACCUUCAAUGGCACCAGAAGCCGAUGUGCAGAAAUCUUGGACGUUGAACAGAAAGGAAAAACAUUGACUGUAUUUGUGUGUUGAGCUGUUAAUAAUACUACUGAUAAUGAUGUGCACAUGCAAGGUGCUCAAGUGGUUUUGACUUUGUUUGGCUUGUCGUGACCUCAACUAAAGAGGUCACGGGGGUGGUUCACGAUCAGCUGACUCGAGAUGUAAUGCACCAAUGUGAAUGUUUGCUUUGCCAGUAGUUCGCAAUUGUUCUUAUCGUCUUGCUCUCGUGGGUUUGCUGUCCAAUCUCCCACCACCCCCGGGUCCACCAAACCAUCCCUCCCGUGCGUUCAGAAACACGAUAGGAUCAAUGAAGAAAUCAAGUCGGCCAAAUGGGCAAAUUGGUCGUUUGCGAAAGCAUGUUUAGUCUAAGCCGAUGCUUGCUGCGAGGGGCAUCCUAAACGAUAGCGCGUGCAGGAACAUGCUCGUUUCCGCUCACGGUCGAGCAUUGCCAAGCUCCACUGUCGUCGGGUACUGUUUCUGCAUCCAGUGUGCGCUGCUGCCUUUUUGCCUUCAUGGCUUUUGUGCUGUUGUGCCAAGUCGAGCGCCACACUCCAGUGGUGUGUGCAAUGUGGCGUUCAUUUCAAGUUUACUGUGUCUGGGCUCGCACUUUACAAACUCCUUGAUGGGGGAAAUGUGCGUGUACACGCGUUUACGUCAAAUCAGGUGAAGAAUAUGAAUUUUUAUUUGUGAACUAUUAAAUAUGUAAUGUAAAAAUGCACGCCCAUCGAUGUGAUCC